rnacentral:lncRNA from 1 species
GUUGGAUCCUCUAAGCAUUUGGCGUUUCGUGUUGGGUCUCAACGACUUCUCAACAACGUGUCGCGUAAAUAUACACUACGCAGUACCAUCCACAAGUCAUUUGUCAGAGAAGAUUUGUUUCGCUUGAACGACACCCAACUUGCAACAGUGUUGCCUGUCUCUGUGGGAGUGAAAGAACAUUGAGUUAUCUCCUCUGUCAUCAUGUGAAGCCUGGUACUUUGGACAACAUGUCCUUGAUGAUUGAUACAAGAUUGAAGAAAUUUGGGAAGCAUCCUGCUGUACUGCUCAUACCAGUGCACACCUAAGGUUUGGCUCUCUUCUCUCCGACGACCUGUCACUCUUCUGAAGCCUGGUUUAA